AGUGAACGCUGGCGGUAGGCCUAACACAUGCAAGUCGAACGGCAGCACAGUAAGAGCUUGCUCUUACGGGUGGCGAGUGGCGGACGGGUGAGGAAUACAUCGGAAUCUACUUUUUCGUGGGGGAUAACGUAGGGAAACUUACGCUAAUACCGCAUACGACCUACGGGUGGAAGCAGGGGAUCUUUGGACCUUGCGCGAUUGAAUGAGCUGAUGUCGGAUUAGCUGGUUGGCGGGGUAAAGGCCCACCAAGGCGACGAUCCGUAGCUGGGCGGAGAGGAGGAUCAGCCACGCGGGAGUGGAGACACGCACCAGGACCCAGCGGGAGGCCGGAGUGGGGAAUGUUGGACAAGGGGCGCAAGCCUGAUCCAGCCAGACCGCGUGGGUGAAGAAGGCCUUCGGGUUGUAAAGCCCUUUUGUUGGGAAAGAAAAGCAGCAGGUUAAGACCCCGCUGUUCGAACGUAACCCAAAGAAGAAGCACCGGCUACCUUCGU
rnacentral:rRNA from 1 species